rnacentral:SRP_RNA from 1 species
UGUAGAUCAUUGGGUCCUGCGCAACGGAACCUCAUAAACCCCGCCAGGUCCGGAAGGAAGCAACGGUAAGUGAGCCCUUUCGUGUGCCGCGGGGCAACCUGAUGGGAGCUAACUAUG